rnacentral:rRNA from 1 species
GUGAAAUUGUUGAAAGGGAAACGCUUGAAGUCAGUCACGUUGGCCGGGGAUCAACCUUGCAUUUACUUGCUGGGUGUACUUUCUGGUUUGACGGGUCAGCAUCAAUUUUGGCUGCUGGACAAAGGUAAAGGGAAUGUGGCAUCUUCGGAUGUGUUUAUAGCCCUUGAUCGCAUACAGCAGCUGGGAUUGAGGAACUCAGCAUGCCUUUAUGGCCGGGUUGUAAAACCACGUAACAUGCUUAGGAUGCUGGCAUAAUGGCUUUAAUCGACCCGUCUUGAAACACGGACCAAGGAGUCUAACAUGCCUGCGAGUGUUUGGGUGGAAAACCCAAGCGCGUAAUGAAAGUGAAAGUCGAGACCUCUGUCGUGGAAGGCAUCGACGCCCGGACCAGAUCUUUUAGUGACGGAUCCGCGGUAGAGCAUGUAUGUUGGGACCCGAAAGAUGGUGAACUAUGCCUGAAUAGGGUGAAGUCAGAGGAAACUCUGAUGGAGGCUCGUAGCGAUUCUGACGUGCAAAUCGAUCGUCGAAUCUGGGUAUAGGGGCGAAAGACUAAUCGAACCAUCUAGUAGCUGGUUCCUGCCGAAGUUUCCCUCAGGAUAGCAGAAACUCAUUAUCAGAUUUAUGUGGUAAAGCGAAUGAUUAGAGGCCUUGGGGUUGAAACAACCUUAACCUAUUCUCAAACUUUAAAUAUGUAAGAACGAGCCGUCUCUUGGUUGGACCGCUCGGCGAUUGAGAGUUUCUAGUGAG